rnacentral:rRNA from 1 species
GAUAUCAAAGCUCCGGCGGUACAGGAUGGACCCGCGUCUGAUUAGCUAGUUGGUGAGGUAAUGGCUCACCAAGGCGACGAUCAGUAGCCGACCUGAGAGGGUGAUCGGCCACACUGGAACUGAGACACGGUCCAGACUCCUACGGGAGGCAGCAGUGGGGAAUAUUGCACAAGGGGCGAAAGCCUGAUGCAGCAACGCCGCGGAGCUUAAAGAGGCCUUCGGGUCGUAAAGCUCUGUCCUCAAGGAAGAUAAUGA